CAACAUGAUGAUACUACACCUUUUUAUUUAUUUCUGGUACCUCUUAUGUCAGAGGGAGAUCCUUGUGGUCUUCCUCGAUGAUCUUAAUGGACUUCUGAUA
rnacentral:snoRNA from 1 species